rnacentral:rRNA from 1 species
CACGGAGUUAGCCGAUGCUUUUUCUCCGGGUACUCUCGAGGCGGGACGCGUCCCGCUCUUUGCUCCCCGGCAAAAGAGGUUUACAACCCGUAGGGCCGUCAUCCCUCACGCGACUUGGCUGGCUCAGCCUCUCGGCCAUUGACCAAUAUUCCUCACUGCUGCCUCCCGUAGGAGUCUGGUCCGUGUCUCAGUACCAGUGUGGGGGACCUUCCUCUCAGAACCCCUACGCAUCGUCGCCUUGGUGGGCCGUUGCCCCGCCAACUAGCUAAUGCGCCGCAUGACCAUCCGCAGCCGGAUCGCUCCUUUGAACCAACAGGGAUGCCCCCGUCGGUUGUUACGCGGUAUUAGACGGAAUUUCUUCCGCUUAUCCCCCUGCUGCGGCAGGUUUCAUACGUGUUACUCACCCGUGCGCCGGUCGCCGCGGAAGUGUUGCCACUCCCCCGCUGCCCCCUCGACCUUACAUGUGUUAAGCCUGUCGCUAGCGUUCAUCCUGAGCCAGGAUCAAACUCU